rnacentral:rRNA from 1 species
AGGUAAGCUACUAAGAGCGAAUGGUGGAUGCCUUGACUGGUAAAGGCGAUGAAGGACGUACUAGACUGCGAUAAGCUACGGGGAGCUGUCAAGAAGCUUUGAUCCGUAGAUUUCCGAAUGGGGCAACCCAAUGUAUAGAGAUAUACAUUACCUAUAUAGGAGCGAACGAGGGGAAUUGAAACAUCUUAGUACCCUCAGGAAAAGAAAUCAAUAGAGAUUGCGUCAGUAGCGGCGAGCGAAAGCGCAAGAGGGCAAACCCAGUGCUUGCACUGGGGGUUGUAGGACUGCAAUGUGCAAGAGGUGAGUUUAGCAGAACAUUCUGGAAAGUAUAGCCAUAGAGGGUGAUAGUCCCGUAUGCGAAAAACAAACCUUAGCUAGCAGUAUCCUGAGUAGGGCGGGACACGAGAAAUCCUGUCUGAAGCUGGGUCGACCACGAUCCAACCCUAAAUACUAAUACCAGAUCGAUAGUGCACAAGUACCGUGAGGGAAAGGUGAAAAGAACUGAGGUGAUCAGAGUGAAAUAGAACCUGAAACCAUUUGCUUACAAUCAUUCAGAGCCCUAUGUAGCAAUACAGGGUGAUGGACUGCCUUUUGCAUAAUGAGCCUGCGAGUUGUGGUGUCUGGCAAGGUUAAGCAAACGCGAAGCCGUAGCGAAAGCGAGUCUGAAUAGGGCGCUUAGUCAGAUGCUGCAGACCCGAAACGAAGUGAUCUAUCCAUGAGCAAGUUGAAGCUAGUGUAAGAACUAGUGGAGGACUGAACCCAUAGGCGUUGAAAAGCCCCGGGAUGACUUGUGGAUAGGGGUGAAAGGCCAAUCAAACUUCGUGAUAGCUGGUUCUCUCCGAAAUAUAUUUAGGUAUAGCGUUGUGUCGUAAUAUAAGGGGGUAGAGCACUGAAUGGGCUAGGGCAUACACCAAUGUACCAAACCCUAUCAAACUCCGAAUACCUUAUAUGUAAUCACAGCAGUCAGGCGGCGAGUGAUAAAAUCCGUCGUCAAGAGGGAAACAACCCAGACUACCAGCUAAGGUCCCUAAAUCUUACUUAAGUGGAAAACGAUGUGAAGUUACUUAAACAACCAGGAGGUUGGCUUAGAAGCAGCCAUCCUUUAAAGAAAGCGUAAUAGCUCACUGGUCUAGUGAUUUUGCGCGGAAAAUAUAACGGGGCUAAAGUAAGUACCGAAGCUGUAGACUUGCGCACAACUUAGAUUAUUUAAGUUUAGAAUAUGAGAAACUAAGUUAUAUGUUUAGUUAUAUUUUUACUGAUUUUUAUAGAGUAAAGAUAGAAAUAAAACUUAGUAAAAUCAGUAAAAAUAUUCUUAGACUAAAGUUAAGUAGUUUAAGUUGUGUGCAAGUGGUAGGAGAGCGUUCUAUUUGCGUCGAAGGUAUACCGGUAAGGAGUGCUGGAGCGAAUAGAAGUGAGCAUGCAGGCAUGAGUAGCGAUAAUUAAUGUGAGAAUCAUUAACGCCGUAAACCCAAGGUUUCCUACGCGAUGCUCGUCAUCGUAGGGUUAGUCGGGUCCUAAGUCGAGUCCGAAAGGGGUAGACGAUGGCAAAUUGGUUAAUAUUCCAAUACCAACAUUAGUGUGCGAUGGAAGGACGCUUAGGGCUAAGGGGGCUAGCGGAUGGAAGUGCUAGUCUAAGGUCGUAGGAGGUUAUACAGGCAAAUCCGUAUAACAAUACUCCGAGAACUGAAAGGCUUUUUGAAGUCUUCGGAUGGAUAGAAGAACCCCUGAUGCCAUCGAGCCAAGAAAAGUUUCUAAGUUUAGCUAAUGUUGCCCGUACCGUAAACCGACACAGGUGGGUGGGAUGAGUAUUCUAAGGCGCGUGGAAGAACUCUCUUUAAGGAACUCUGCAAAAUAGCACCGUAUCUUCGGUAUAAGGUGUGGUUCGCUUCGUAUUAGGAUUUACUCCGAAAGCGAAGAAACUUACAACAAAGAGUCCCUCCCGACUGUUUACCAAAAACACAGCACUCUGCUAACUCGUAAGAGGAUGUAUAGGGUGUGACGCCUGCCCGGUGCUCG